AUCGUCUUUAGUAUGAGACGGACCUCCCCAGUGAUAAGAACAAUGGAAGAAAGUGCUUUGGAUUAUCAAGGUCCAGACUUGCAUAAACUUAUCUAAACUCGAGAAGCAGUACUAAGAACAGUGAAGCGUUUCUUCAGCAUGAGAAAUAUAUUUUAUCUAUUUCGUAUCUUGGAUCAAAAGUGCGGUGCUACCACAAAGCCUUGUUUCUUUAACAGGUUUAUGAUCCACUGAUUGUGUGAGAAUGAUGGAAGUUUCUUAUCAAAAGUGCGGAGAUACCAAAAAAUCUAUUCAUGAUCCAGUGGUGGUGGAAGUGUUUUUUUUAGUUUAGCUAAUUUAAAGUUUUUAAGUUUUAAAGUUUUAAAGUUUAAGUUUCAAAAAUGUAGUGUGUAAAGUGUUAGUGGGUGUAAGACUGAUUAAAAUGCCAAAAUCAAUAGGCCCUUAGUGCAAAGGUGUAUGUUCCUGGUUUUUGGAUAUGCUAGCUGGUAUAUAUUAAGUUGCUGAUUGCUGGUAAUCCUGUAUUGGUGAUUAUUAGUUGCUGGUUGCUGAGAAUGCUGGUACGAGCAAGAAUAAAGCAUAGUGGCAGAUCGAUAAAGGUAGGUCAACUCAAGAUAUUGUUGCUGAGAUGGGCGUGAGGGUAAGUCCAGUUGCAUGUUUUCUUUAUUAUAAUAAAAUCAUUAUAAAAUGUUAUUUCAAAGUUUGUAUUUUUUCAAUACUAAAGUUUGAAAUGCAUAUUAUAAUGAAGCCAAAACUUAUUUCAUUUUAUGUCGUUUUUUGAAACAUUUUGUUUCGAGUAUUUGAAUUGGUGUUUUUUAAAGUUUAUUUUUUUCAAUAAGUUUUCAGUGCAUAGUGUGUAUUAUAGUGAGUGAAGUGUUGAAUAACAUAUCAAGAAGUGUCCCUCAGUCCAAAGCUACGCCCGGAUAUAGUCGAAAUUUUCAAUCAUGAUCACUUUUUUAUAACACAUUUUAUUCAGUUUAACUUCAAUUAAAUUUCAGUUUUCAUUAUUUAGUUCUUUAUUC